CAAGAGCGUAUGUAAAAGUUGUUGCAGUUAAAAAGCUCGUAGUUGAACCUUGGGUUUGGUUGGCCGGUCCGCUUUUUUGCGAGUACUGGAUUCAACCGAGCCUUUCCUUCUGGCUAACCAGUCGUUUCGGCGGCUGGCGAACCAGGAUUUUUACUUUGAGAAAAUUAGAGUGUUCAAAGCAGGCAUUAGCUUGAAUAUAUUAGCAUGGAAUAAUAGAAUAGGACGUUAUGGUUCUAUUUUGUUGGUUUCUAGGACCAUCGUAAUGAUUAAUAGGGACGGUCGGGGGCAUCAGUAUUCAGUUGUCAGAGGUGAAAUUCUUGGAUUUACUGAAGACUAACUACUGCGAAAGCAUUUGCCAAGGACGUUUUCAUUGA
rnacentral:rRNA from 1 species